UACAGAGGUCUCAAGCGUUGUUCGGAUUCAUUGGGCGUAAAGGGUGCGUAGGCGGCGCGGUAAGUCGGGUGUGAAAUCCCCGGGCUCAACCUGGGAACUGCAUCCGAGACUGCAUUGCUAGAGUAUGGGAGAGGGAAGCGGAAUUUCUGGUGUAGCAGUGAAAUGCGUAGAUAUCAGAAGGAACAUCAGUGGCGAAGGCGGCUUCCUGGACCAAUACUGACGAUCAGGUGCGAAAGCGUGGGGAGCAAACAGG
rnacentral:rRNA from 1 species